AGUAGAUAUCUGACACACUAUCUAAUCUAGGGUGCUUGCCAGUAGAAUAGACUCUUAUCAGGCUUGAUCUUUUUGGUCUGGCUCUGCACAGCUGUCCCAGCCUAAACUUGCUCCUUCUUGACUUUCUUCUUCUUGUUCUUCUUCCCUUUCUUAAAAGGUCAAGAACCAGAAGACGAACCUCCCACUAAGUUCACCAACUCCUUGUGAAGUUGGUGAUCCUUCUCAAAGUUUUGAAGCAACCCC
rnacentral:lncRNA from 1 species